rnacentral:rRNA from 1 species
UCGUGGAGUGAUCUGUCUGCUUAAUUGCGUUUCACUAAGGGCCUAUAAUUUAACGUGUGUUGCGGCACUUUGACCCCUCAUUCUCACAUGAGCGCGUGUCUUAGUUUGCUUAGCUCGCACAAUUAGGUCCUGAAAGCAACGAACGUGACCGCAACCUCUUGUUGCCUUUAUACCAAACACGUUUGCCAUAUCUCAAUAUGGUCUCUCGUGAAAAAAGGCUUUUUAAACUAGAGGG